GUGGGGAAUAUUGGACAAUGGGGGGAACCCUGAUCCAGCCAUGCCGCGUGUGUGAAGAAGGCCUUUUGGUUGUAAAGCACUUUAAGCGAGGAGGAGGCUACCGAGAUUAAUACUCUUGGAUAGUGGACGUUACUCGCAGAAUAAGCACCGGCUAACUCUGUGCCAGCAGCCGCGGUAAUACAGAGGGUGCAAGCGUUAAUCGGAUUUACUGGGCGUAAAGCGCGCGUAGGUGGCCAAUUAAGUCAAAUGUGAAAUCCCCGAGCUUAACUUGGGAAUUGCAAUCGAUACUGGUUGGCUAGAGUAUGGGAGAGGAUGGUAGAAUUCCAGGUGUAGCGGUGAAAUGCGUAGAGAUCUGGAGGAAUACCGAUGGCGAAGGCAGCCAUCUGGCCUAAUACUGACACUGAGGUGCGAAAGCAUGGGGAGCAAACAGGAUUAGAAACCCUAGUAGUCC
rnacentral:rRNA from 1 species